AGCACUAUGCAGAUUUAGAUACCAAGAGUGUGUUUUGAGACAUCUACAAAAACCUUGGCUUGAUGAACCACUCAGCCACACUGCUUGAUUUGCCUGCGAAGCCAUUGAAUACAAAAGAGGCUGACAUGAGGGAAAGCCCCAACUUCAACAAUAAAAAUAUGUCAGCAUGAAAAUGGUUAAUGAUUGCAUUUUAAAUCAAAAUGUUCUCCAUGACUGACUGCUUUGCAGCACUAGGGAUGGAGAAAUGAGUCUUCUUCUAAUGACACAGCCCAGUGCACACACAGUCCUCAAGCAUCCCCAGACCAACGGCAUGGCAGCCACUGGGCCUGCAGGUUAAUAUGUGUUGCGCAGCCCCACAAAUUAAAUUGAUGCUUCUCACAUCGGGCCAAAAAUGCAACAGGAGAAGGCUGUGAAAAAUUAGGAAAUCUUCUUGACAUUGGGAAAUCCGACACUUGUCUGCUCUAACAUCUGUAAGUGCCAAAGAAAGAGGGGGAUUUUUUCCCUUAAAGAAAGGCAGAUUUGCCUAUCUCCGAGAGACGAUCGGUUGGGGUUGUUUUCUGAAGAAGCCUGUAGGUAAAGAGGCAUCCAUACGUUCACACAGGAGGAUUCAUAAAGGCAAGGAUGAGAAGAUAAAGGUAUUAUUUUGACAUGAUGACCCCUGGAAAAUGUCUUCGACUCAUCCCAAGUUGUUGCCACUUUUGCUGCCUUUGCCUCUGAGAAGUUGAGUAAUGCUCUGGCCCCUUUGAAAUAUUUUCUCAUCUGCACUGAAUUUCUGCCGACAAACCAAUGGAUAGAUAUGGACCUAAGAACUAUUUAUUAUCAUCGAGUAAGGGGUUUUUUUGACUUAAUCUGAGGCAAUUAGUACCUGAAUAAACACACACUAAGUAAUCUACCUCCUCAAAAGGCUGCUGGAUGGCAGGUUGGAGCUGAGCCGCGCUUAUGGAAGAAGCUGUGUGGCCAAGUGUCCUCGAUACCCUGGGCACGAGCUGGGAAACGCUCCUCCAGAAAUACACACUUGUCACAUGUUAAUUAAACAAGGCACUAUCCCAGCUCCCUCCCAGAUGACCGGGGGGUACCAGAGCAAAGAGCCAAGACCACCAACACCACCAAUGUGAAAGAGGAGAGGGAAAGCUAGGGAUUUAAGGAGGCUUGAUCCCACUCUCUCCACGUGGCUGAUACCAAGGGUAAGUCACCAGCAAUAGCAAAGUCCUCACGAAAAUCUCUUCUGGCCUGUGCAGCAGGAAAGGUGGUUAUGGAAUUGGUGCUGCCAAAGGAAUGGCAUGUAGCGAGGUGCGAAGGCAGGAGCACUGUCUGCCUCGUAAUGGAUAUUGCAGUGAAGUGUGAAGAUAUCCACUUUGUCUUUAAGAACAAAACUUAGGUUAGGAUGGAAGAAAAAAAGACCCCUAAGCCUAAAU